GCUUAAAGCAAAGUGUGUUUCUCUGCAUUAAGGAGUCAGAUUCAGCUAUUCAAAGCAAGUUGAUAAAUUGCUUUUCAUUAAGUGUCUGAGCGCCAAGGGGUUCAGCAUGUGUUCCAAGGAAAAAAUACAUUAAUUACAGCUUCUGUAGAGCAUUUAUCAAUCACAUAGUUAUAAACAGUACUAAUGCAGUUAAUUGAAGGUAGAAAAAUUUACCUUUUGAAUGUGUUGACUGUAGCAAUUCUGUGGUUGGAAAGACAAAUGGUCUGGAAAUUAAAAUCGAGUGGUACUUUGGGGAGUGCCUGGGUACCUGUCUCACAUACAGACUUGACCAGACUCUUGCAGAGUGUUCAGAGGGGGUGUGCUGUCUGCAGCACGAGAGGCACUGUGGAGGUCAGGGGGGCUACAGCCCAGGUUAUUGGGAGCUCAGCGUUCAUGCAGGCAGUUUGUGCUGUGUUGGCUGUUGAGCUACAGUCGUACGGACUGUGGUAGUGGUAUUUUUUCCCUUCUUGCCCACGCAGGUUGUGUUUAGCAGGCAAACUGUAAUUUUGCCUACAAAACUGUAGUACAGUUACAACUGCCUCUGUGUCCUGGCCAUACAGUUUAUUGCUCUCUGUGUGUGAUGGUUUUUUUUUUAAAAGAAGAAAGGCAUGCAGAGGAGGAAGGAUGUACAAAAGCAAACAAAAAUCUCCUGCUCACCUGUAGUCAGUAAAACUUCCUGUGAAAAAAUGAAUCUUUUGUGAAUGUAAGUUUUGGAUAAAAGUGCUGGCAGCAGCUGAAGGAAUCAGGUGAGGUUGUGCUGAAGUAUUUUAUCAGGUCUGCAGACAAAAAUCCGGCGCUUGUGGUAUGCAGAGGUUUUGAAAACAUCUUGCACACUUGUGUUGCUUUCCCUGUGGCUGUUUUGAACUGCCAGCUGUGCAACUGGCUGCUUUUCAUGCUUCUCAGGAAAGCCCUGAGAAUGGUAGAGUAUUUUUGCAGUAACUCACGAUGAAUAUAUUUCUUGUUCUUUCUUCUGUUGAGUUGUUGUGAGAUGGCCUCUGAGCUUCAUGCAAGACUGGUAAGGACACUAGGUCUGUGUCAGGACAAGCCAGCAGGGCACCAUUUCCCAGGUUGAUGGGAAAAUGCUGUCUUGGUGCCUGGUCCAGUUCUUUGGUAUUCACCUGACGGCUUGUAUUUUCUACUGGUGAGUGUUUUGUACUUGUGUUGCAGCUUCUUUUUGAGGCUCUUGGAAUGUUUUUUGUCUUUACAGUAGGCUGCACAAUAUCUCCAACUAGAGAAGGAGGUCUUAUCUUGUCCUUACAAAUGGUAAAAUGAGUAUCUAAGAGCUGUGUGUUUGUGGUCUGACAGGAAGCUCUGGCACUGUGCACAAUUAGAGAUCUCCAAUUUUGUACCUUAAAUACAAAUUUGCCGUAUAUUUCUCCGCUUGCUUUGUAAAUGGGCUGUUAAAAUUUCACCAUAGGUGGGACCUUAAUUCAAGAGCUAAAUACUAAACUGAACAACUGUCAGUGUAAUUGUACAGGUCAAAAUGGUACACAUGCAUAAUCGAUGCACACUGAAAUCCAUCCCCUCCAUGAGCCUGCCUGCGUUCACACACCACCAGCACACCUGGUCCGCAAGGGACACUACACAGAAAAUGAGAUCUGCACAGUAUCCUACCCCAGCAGAAUUGGAUGCUUAUGCUAAGAAGGUCGCCAACAAUCCACUGACUAUAAAAAUUUUUCCAAACAGUGUCAAGGUUCCCCAGAGGAAACACAUACGCCGUACUGUGAACGGACUUGAUACUUCGGGCCAGAGGUACAGUCCCUACCCGUCUCAGGCCACCACAAAAACAGGCCUCCUGGCGAUAGUCAAAUCUCCAGCAAAAGGAAUUAUCAAAGACUUUGACGGGACACGCACGCGUCUGCUGCCGGAAGCGAUGAUGAAUCCCCCUUCCACACCAUACGUUGCACCUAGCACUUUAACCCACCCCCAGGCGCUUGCUCGCCAGCAGGCUCUCCAGCAUGCACAGACUUUGCCGCACCCCCAGAGUAUACCGCAGCCACAGACUUUGCAGCACCCUCAGGGUAUACCACAGCCACAAAGCUUACCGCACCCUCAGGGGAUACCGCAGCCACAGACGCUGCCGCACCCUCAGAAUAUGCAGCAGCCGCAGGGCUUGCAGCAUCCUCAGACCAUGGCACACCAGACUCUGCAGCACCCCCCAAAUCCUUUGCUGCAGCCGGGUUUACAUGGAAGCAGAAAGAUGCCGGAUGCAGAUGCGCCGCCGAAUGUGACCGUGUCUACCUCAACCAUUCCCCUCUCUAUGGCUGCCACCCUGCAGCAGAACCAGCCACCGGACCUGAGCAGCAUUGUGCACCAGAUUAACCAGUUCUGCCAGGCCAGAGCUGGCAUUAGCACUACCUCAGUGUGUGAGGGACAGAUUGCAAACCCCAGCCCUAUAAGUCGCAACCUGCUUAUCAAUGCAAGUACCAGGGUAUCUACUCACAAUGUCCCUACACCCAUGCCUUCCUGUGUAGUAAACCCUGUAGAUCAUGCUGCUGCUGCUAUUCCUCCUGCCUCUGUUAAUGUGCCCAUGGUGAAUAUUAACAGGGUGCCGCCCGCGUACCAGAACGAAAUCAAAUCGGUUGCCUGGAACCAGCACCAGCUUGUGCAUCUGCAGCAAAUGUGUGGGGAUGCUGCUGGGCCUGCUGGACUCGCAGGGAAGCACCCUCAGAGAGAGAUCGCAGGGCAGAGUUUUCCUGGCAAAACUUCAAACUACCCUCAAGAACUGUGCAUGGGCCAGUCAUUCAGCUUGAAGCCCCCCAUUGAGAAGCCUACGCCUUCUCCACCUGUGAACGGGUUGCAGGGACCCUUGCCAUAUACCAAUGGGCACUAUUUCCAGCCCCUCUGGAAUAACAUUCUGCCCACACCCAACAGUGACAGCUCUGGGUCCCAGGACCUCGCCAUGCCUUUCCACGGGGGACAGCCAGCAGGAGCGCCGCUAGAUUGUGCAGGAGGAACUCAUUACAGAGCUGGAGCUGGGCCAUCCAGCCAGAAUAAUGUGAUGCAGACCAUGGAUUACCUAAGCGGGGACUUCCAGCAGUCCUGCUUCAGAGAUCAGAGCAUGGCCGUGCUGGGAAAAGUCCAUCGGCCUCCCAUGAACCGAGCACCUGAACCAACCGAUAGUCGAAAUCUUCAUAUUCAACACCCAGGGUAUAGAUAGGCUGCAGUCACUUUCACAGACAAAAAUUAUAGGUUUAGUCUUAAUUUUAAUUAAUAAGCAAGGCAUUUUUAACUUGCAAACUUGUGUGAUCAUUAUAGUAACCAUUGGAAGAAGACAUACUGUAUAUUUAAAAGCUUUGCUUACAUGUUAUCCAUCUCCUUUAUGCAUCAAAUACUUAACAUGCCUUUUGUGUCAAAGAAUUUCAUUACACUACUUCACGCCACAGCUGUUUCCUCACUGCAGAAUCCCCUUUGUGCAGCUUUUGCCUUCUGCUUAGUAGCUACUUGCUGGACUGAUGUUGAGUUGCUGCAGGAUUUCGCAGUUGCAUCUGUUCACCAGCUCCCGUCAAGAGCGAGGGUCUCGGUGCCUAACUCCUUCUGUUCCUUUCCCACGUCACUUCCAGCAGCUGGUCGAGUCAGUGAUCGUAGGACACUAACUAUGGGGUAACCUCAGCAUCUUGUUCUCCUCAGUGUACCGAAACAUACCUUUCCUUUCUAACAGCCGAAUUUGUUGUAAGUAGAAAAUUUCUCAUCUCUGUUAAUGAGACUAAUACUUGAACAUAAUGAUCACAAUCAAGUUUGGAAAUUAAAAAAAAAAUAAUAAGAAGAAAAUAAAUGCAUUGAUUCUUUAUAUGUACACUGGCUAAAAAUAUUGCUCUACACUGUAACUUUUAAGUGUAAUAUUUCUGUAUGAAUGUCGCCUGGUAGUGUGGGUUUGAGUAGCAUUGUGUAUGGGUGAACCCACUGGCCUCUGCCAUCCACUGGCCUCCCUCACAGCCCUUUGAAAAACAAAGCCUUAAGUAUUUGCUCCUUGAACUUUCCUUAACGAGCAUGGUUUAAAAUCUUAAAAGACAUCAUACAAAAUUAUAAAAAAAAAAAUAACAAGUUUUGAAGUGACGUCAUAGUUGGCUAGAGAUUCUUAAAAGUUUUUCGUAAAUGGAAAAAUUAGAAAACAUUUAUUUGUAUUUUUUUAAUUUAGACGUGUAGUCCUGGGCUGUAACAAAUAUUUAGGUUUCAAAGCUUAGCAGAGUACGUUUUCUGACUCCUUGCGUAAGUUAGUACACUUAUAUCAUGUCAUUAUUUAAAUUCUUUUAAGUGUACUAUAAACCGUUCUUUAGUGGUAACUCUUUAGCAAAGUUAAGCAAUUUGACUAAAGACGGAUUAAAUUAUGUGUUGGCUUGUGUUGCCUUAUAUUUAAAAAGGAAAAAUUGCCUGAUUGUGUUAUGCCAAAUGAUAGCAACAUGAAGUCCUAAUUUAUUGUUUAUAAUCGUAUUCCUGCAGUCUUUGUGAAAACUGGUAAAUAUACAUCUAUGAAAGAACUAAAAUCCUGAGGCUUUUCAUGCAAUAUUUUUCUGAAUACAUUAUAUUGGAAGCCAAGGUUCGAGUCUGAAGCUGCUUCCCUUACAGUCUCCCCGCCGCCUUCCCCGUCCUACUCCCCCAAAUUGAUCUAGGGCUGUGCUAUGACUUUAACCCUUCCUGCCGAGUUAGUUACUGUAAGGUGUUCUGCUACCUGAAUACGUACCUUUUUACUAAAUAAAAUAUUGGCAUCUCCUUUGUUCAGUAGCCUGCUACAAAUCUCAACCCAGACUGUUAUUAAAAGCUUUUUUUUUUUUUUUUCCUCCUGCUCUUCUCCUGAGAGAGAGACUUGAGUAGAGUCCCGUGUCAUGGUGUUUGCAUUAGCGAUGGCAGCAUGUUCAGAGCUGUUGGGGCUCGUUCUCCGCGGGCAGCCGCAGGUAGAGCCACGGCCUCUGAGAUUUGGCCCCGCUGCAGUGGGUCUGGGAAGCAAAAAUACUCCUGAGACUCAUCCAGGUGGGACAUUGCUUGAAAAAUAGGAAUCCUUUUACUAUUAAAAUACACUGAAAUAUUUCCUUUUGUUCUAGGAGUGAGAUUUUUCUUUAAACCAGCCCUUUUCACUUCUGCAGCAGCCUCUUGCUAAUGGGCUCUCCUUCCUUCUUCCCCACCACCUUCCGUACAGAGGGACAGGAGCACUGGCCUGUCUUGCUCCCAGGUACACCUCGAGCACAGGCACCAAAUCCGCGGCGCAGGCGGCCCGGCGUGGGGGUCCAGCUGUGGCACUGGCACUCGCCCCGGUGACAAAGGCGACCAGAGGGCUGGUGUGUGGCAGGAGGUGCGCUCUCCUGGGAAUGUCUGUCCACAUGCAGUUUUAUUUCAGUCUCUGCCGGGUGCAGAAAUAAGAGUAAUUUCAAGGCCAGGGGUGCACCUUCGCCCUGGGCUCUCCCCAGGACCCCGAUGCAGGCGGCCGCCUGCCGUUGGGGCUCAGGCUGCUGCUCCCGUCGCCGCACUCAGCUUGCCUUUCCAACUGAAUUUUCACCUGUGGGUCAGUGGCUCCCCGACCUCUGACUCCAGCACAAGGCCUCCGUUCCCCUGGUGGAUCCUGGGUGCCUGCAGACGAUGGUUCUGCUCCUUGAGGAAAGAGUAAGGUGCUUCCACAUGUUUUCCUGAACUAUUUACGCUGCCUCAUCAAAUCUGCCCACUUUAGGGUACCGCACUGAUUUAGCAGAAUACCGUUACUCUAACGGUUCCUGGCAACUCCCUUGCCAGCUGGAGGUGGACACUAGAUAGAUCCUAGGAGGGAUAAACAUGAAUGUGGCGUAAACCCUUCCAGAGGAUGCUUCCAUCCUUGAUGCAUCUUGUCUUUUGAGCAGAAGCUUUGAAGCUGUUAAAUAACGAGCCCAGUUUGUUACAGCCCAAAGUUAGCAUUUUAUAAAGGCACUUGUGAAUUUUCUUUUCGCUUACGAUGUGAAAGGUGUCUCGGUGGGACUCGGCUGCUCCCAUAGAAACCAAACAGAAAUGUUUGCUGGGGCUCACUGGGGAGAGAACUGGGAAUUGCUGCUGUAUUUCAUUAAACCACAGACUGAUGAUAAACACUGCUGCUGAUGUGCUA